rnacentral:rRNA from 1 species
GGCGUUAAGCGCGCGUACGGUGGCUUGAUAAGCCGGUUGUGAAAGCCCCGGGCUCAACCCUGGGAACGGCAUCUCGGAUCUGUCAGGCUAGAGUGCAGGAGAGGAAGGUAGAAUUCCCGGUGUAGCGGUGAAAUGCGUAGAGAUCGGGAGGAAUACCAGUGGCGAAGGCGGCCUUCUGGACUGACACUGACACUGAGGUGCGAAAGCGUGGGUAGCAAACAGGAUUAGAUACCCUGGUAGUCCACGCCGUAAACGAUGUCGACCAGCCGUUGGGUGCCUAGCGCACUUUGUGGCGAAGUUAACGCGAUAAGUCGACCGCCUGGGGAGUACGGCCGCAAGGUUAAAACUCAAAUGAAUUGACGGGGGCCCGCACAAGCGGUGGAGCAUGUGGUUUAAUUUGAUGCAACGCGAAGAACCUUACCUACCCUUGACAUCGACAGAAGCCGAGAGAGAUCUUGGUGUGCCUUCGGGAACUGUCAGACAGGUGCUGCAUGGCUGUCGUCAGCUCGUGUUGUGAAAUGUUGGGUUAAGUCCCGUAACGAGCGCAACCCUUGUCCUUAUUUGCCAGCGCGUAAUGGCGGGAACUCUAAGGAGACUGCCGGUGACAAACCGGAGGAAGGUGGGGACGACGUCAAGUCAUCAUGGCCCCUACGGGUAGGGCUACACACGUGCUACAAUGGCCGGUACAAAGGGCAGCGAGCUCGCGAGAGUCAGCGAAUCCCUUAAAGCCGGUCUCAGUCCGGAUCGGAGUCUGCAACUCGACUCCGUGAAGUCGGAAUCGCUAGUAAUC